GAUGGAGGCCGGUCGAUUCUCAGAGGCACAGCGACUUUGAAGUUUUACUUCAUUUCUCUCAACAUUCCUCUCUUACAGAUUAAGAGACAUAGAUACAGAAAGGUGAAGUUAUUUGCCCAGAAUCUUGAGAUUGACUUGAGAUUUAAGACCCCAUCAUGAAGAUGCCUUGAAAUAUGCAUCCGUUUAUGUACUACACAAUUUAUUGGUACUGUUAUACUGCAGUUAGUUUCUGACAGCUUUCAUUUAAGGCCUUCGGCUCUCAACAGUGAACCAAAUCAUGUUACUCUGUGCCUCCAGAGGUUCGGGACACCUAGAACGGGUCAAGGAUAUAUCUGCUGCGAACAACCUAUAAUCAGAGAGAGAUCCCCUGGAAGCCCUUGGAACCCCUCCCAAGCUUUGGGAAGAAGCAUGGAGUCAUCCCACUAGAGCUGAUGGAUAGCAGACACUGAGUCCAGGAUGUCUCUUCAUCACCAGCCCCACCAGCCUGACCACACUGGCCCUGCUGACCUCUCUGGCUGUGUUGGAUGAAACUCAGCAUUGACCAAGGUGAAGGUGUGCGUUCUGCCCUGACUCUGGGUCCAGUUCUGAUCUGAGGGGGAAUUUAAGGAGCCCUGAUCCGACACAAGUUAACUCUGCUUCUGGUCCUCCUCUUAUGUGGCUCCCAAUUCCAGGAAGGGAACCACUGUUUGUUGAUUGUCUUCUCUAGCUUAUGUGUUUCUCUGGACCACAAACAAUGCCUGCUGCUUAGAAGAAUUCAGACGUUGCAAGCUGGGAGUGAAAAUGCCAGGAAGGACCAGGCAAGUUGUUGAAAGGAGAACUACCUGAUGUAACCUAGUUUUGAACCUAUAUAGGUAAGCUGAGGGAACUUAGUCCUACAAAGAUGUUCCUAAACCUGGGGCUACGAACUUAUUGGUUCCAAGGACUCUUUGGCAGUCUGGUGAAGCUCUUGGACCUCUUCUCAGAAUGAAGUUUUGAAUAACGUAAAGCAUACAGGAUUACAAAGGAAACCAAUUGUGUUGCCAUGCAGUUAUAAUAUAGUAAAGAAAUUGGUGAUUAAGUAUUAAGUAUGCUUCUUUAUUAACAUGUUGAAUAACAAGAUAUAGCUGUGGGUUUAAAAACCACUGUAAUUUUGAAGUAGUGAUAGGUGUAAAUUAUGUUUUGAGAAAUCUGUAGCACUAUAAUGUGAUACGAGAAUAUCUGAUUUCCUUUGCUGCAAGUCACAGGUACUGUUAAUAAUGCUGUGGUUUGUUGUCUACAUUUGUAAUUGAAGGGAAUAUAAACAGAAGCUAGUGAAAAUAAAGAUAUAAUUUUUUCCUUAUGCAAGUUCCUUCACGGACCCUGGUUAACAACUCUCCUCUAGGAUCAAUGUUUUGUAACCCAUUUUAAGCCCUGAACCCCUCCCUUUGAGAAUCUGACAAAAGUUGUCUAUAGACUAGGACACCAGAAGAAAUGCACGUAUCUAUAUAGAUAUAAAACUGUAUCAUGUUUGUGGAUUCCUAAUGACCAUCCAUGAACCUUUUCCAAGUCCAUGGACACCACCCCCCCCCCCCCGCCCCAGGUUUAAGAACUCCAGUUCUAGCGUCAAGGACAUUGUCCCUUUGGCAUACUGUGGUUGUAAAUAGCAGACACUGAAUCUGGAACCAGGCAGUUUUAUAGGGUCUUCAUAGCAGAAUUGCUGGAUGAUCCAUCUGCACACUACUUCUGGAAUGAGUAAGCUCCAUCUGUGGCCAGACAUUCGACCCCCUGUGUAUUGUUCACAUGUCCGAGUGGCCUAGCUGGGGUCAGAUGCCCAUCCCUUCACUAUGGGAAAGCUGGACACUUUGGUGACUGUAUCUAAUGAGGAAGAAUAAUUUCCCAAAAGGAAUUUGUGGUGCUAUCAUUGAGAGAAAGUGGUGUGGAUAUGAAGCAGAAAAAAGUGAAAACAAAGUUUACUUUAAGCCCCAUGAAAAGUGGUUAUGUUAUAAGUACUGAGUUUUCUUAAUUAGAAGACACACUUUUGGGGGAACAUUUUAAUGUUUCUGAAAACAGGAUAUGACUCUCAGUAUGUGUAUAUAUUGAAAGCAGCAUCACCCUUCCACCUCCCCCCAAGAAAAAUAAACUGUUGUUAAAUCAGUGUUGUACCUUACGGUUGAGGAGUCUUAGUAUUCGGAAACUGUGGAUUACAGACUCAACAAAGCCAUGCAAGGCAGAUUCCUUGAAGUUUCAGGAAGUGUGUCUGCCCCUAUUUCUUGAUGGUAUUUUCUUUUAAUCUUUGUGCUCCUGAAACAUAUAUACUGUGUCCAUUUUGGCUCUUAUUUUACACCUAAUGUUUGACAUGCUACUAAAUAUUGAGGUGAAAUUCAAUCCUAUUGAACAGGUGCUUACUGAGCAGUGACUAUGAAUCGAGUUGUCUUCUAGACACUGUGAGGAUUAUAAAAGAAUAAUACAGAGCCGUCUUCUCUCCUGGAGCUUUCAGCUUGGGUGAAGACGCUGCACACAUGCAGGAACCAGGUAAAAUACUUACCUGGGAUUCUAACCUACAUGCUGCAGCUUAAGGAAGCCAGGAGGUCAGAGAGCAGAGUGUGGAUUGAGUGGUCAAGGAAGUUUCUGUGGAAGAGACUGGGGAGUCCCUGCCCUGAGUCAGAACUUGAGGGAAGAAAGCAAUGAGGUGCUAGGAAGUUGCACCCCUUGUUCUGGUCAUCAUCCAAGAGAGAUAGAAACCUUGGGUGAGGAUGACCAAAGCCCUUGGGUCUCCACCCUGGGCUAACACCCAUUUAUCUGUCAGCUCUUGUAUUAACACCACUUCCAGAAAUGUCUUCACGGACCUCGCAAUUUAAAAUUUGGUCCCUUUCUUAAAUUUU